rnacentral:rRNA from 1 species
GACGAACGCUGGCGGCGUGCCUAAUACAUGCAAGUCGAACGAGAGCAACCGGUGCUUGCACUGGUCAAUCUAGUGGCGAACGGGUGAGUAACACGUGGGUAACCUGCCCAUCAGAGGGGGAUAACAUCCGGAAACGGAUGCUAAAACCGCAUAGGUCUUCGAACCGCAUGGUUUGAAGAGGAAAAGAGGCGCAAGCUUCUGCUGAUGGAUGGAUCCGCGGUGCAUUAGCUAGUUGGUGAGGUGACGGCUCACCAAGGCCGUGAUGCAUAGCCGACCUGAGAGGGUGAUCGGCCACAUUGGGACUGAGACACGGCCCAAACUCCUACGGGAGGCAGCAGUAGGGAAUCUUCCGCAAUGGACGCAAGUCUGACGGAGCAACGCCGCGUGAGUGAAGAAGGUUUUCGGAUCGUAAAACUCUGUUGUUAGAGAAGAACAAGUGCUAGAGUAACUGUUAGCGCCUUGACGGUAUCUAACCAGAAAGCCACGGCUAACUACGUG